rnacentral:lncRNA from 1 species
AAAAAUCAGAAGUCGAAAGUGAUGAACAAUAAAUUCUCAGCAAUUUAAUGGUGCUGCAGCAAAUGCUUGUGCUCAGUUAGGGCUUCAACGUUCAGCUGUAACCCUCUCUCUCUCUCUCUCUCUCUCCUCUCUCUGUUUGGUGCAUUGUAUUUGUGAUCCCUGGAAUUUGAAUUGUUUACUUUAGCUUUUUCAAAUUUGGACUGUAUGCACAGUAGCUAGUUUGAUUAAAUGAUGACUUAUCCGCCUUGUUUUAAUUCUUGAUUUUCCGUUUUGCGGAUGAACUUGAGUUUUCUUAUGUUAAUGAGCUUGAGCUUGAGCUUGAGCUUGAGUUUGUUUGAGUCAAUUAGAAGAUGUGUUUCUUGAAUGAACUUCAUUUGCUUGUUUCUAGAAUGACGCUUCUACUUAUGCACUGAUUGUGUAUGUGUUUGAAUGUACAAAUAUGUGCGGGUACACACAUACAUACAUACAUUACACACACACACACACAUUAUAUUAUAUAUAUAUGUGUGUGUGUGUGUGUGUGUGUGUGUGUAUGUAUGUGUGUAUGUAUUGUAUAUUUAUAUAUGUGUGUGUGCAUAUAUUUUAUGUAUGAUGUAUGUAAUGUGUCUAUGUAUUGUAUAAUAUUGUGUGGUGUGGUGUGUGUGUACCCAGUUCAUUUGCACCAUAUAAAAACCUACUAGUUUUGAAUGCUUCUGUGUUCUUUCUCAAUAUAGCUGCUGCUGAAAUCUUGUUAUUUUGAUUCUUUGAAUUAGAAAUUUGAUGCCGAGUGGUAAUCUAAAUUGUCAUCUGGUUAGGAUUUUACAGGGAAUUUCUUGCUUAUAAGAGCUUGUGCUACUUUGAUUAUUGUUUCCAAAAGCAAGUAUUUCUGGAAUCCUGUGGUUGCAAUACCUAGAAACUUUUUCUUCUUAUGAUCCUUCGCAAAGAAUUUUAAGAAGACAUUGAAAUUUAUUUAACUUUUUUUUUAAUUUUCCUUUUAUUUCAGUCGGUUUCUGUAUACAAAAUGCUUGGUUUGGAUCUUUAGCAUGUUGUCAAGGAUUUGGUAUUUGGUAAGGAAAAAAGAAAUGGAAACGGAAAAAAUAGAUGAUCCAAUCGUCCCCAAGGUUGGAUCUUCUAACUUUUCCGUUUCCGUUUUCUUUUCCAUUUCCAUUUCCAUGUCCAUUUCAUUUUCCCUCACCAAAUCCUUGAUCCAAAUAUAGCCUCUAGAGAACAGAAUCAGGGGCCUAGGGUCAUAUAGUUUUUUGCACAAUUAUCUACUUUUUAACUAUCUAAAACAGUUGUUCCCUUUUAUCUUCUUAUUUGAAGUAACCCAUUUUAUUCUUUCUAAUUAGUUUUGUUUAAUUCUUUGUUGGGUGAGUAAUGCAGGACUCUAAGAAGAUGUAUUGUUGUAUUUCCGUAUGAUUCGAUAAAGCCUGAUCAUGCAAGUAAGUGGAUGCAGCAUAAUUCAUGGAGUUCCCCUCAAUUCAGAAGUUUAUGCCCACAUUGAGAAAAGGAAAUGGUUUUCUGGUGGCCUUUAGUGGCUAUCACUCAUUUAUUUGGCAUGCCCCUAAUGUCUUCCAUAUGGAAAUGCUCUUCUGGUCUCCUAUUGCCCCGAGGAGAAAGCGUCAAAUACGUGACAAGGGAAGCUUUUAAUCCUAGACCAUCUGCUGUUAAGCCUGUGAUGGUUCAAACUCCUCGUUGGUUAAGGCUUCAGAUUCAUUUUGAAAAUCCUAAUCUAAUUUGUUGGCGCGGUGAAAGAUGCUGACCAAUAUAAUGUGGGUGGAUUAAAUUAGGCAUAGCAAUGGACCAAUGGGAGAGAAUCAAAGUAAUGGAGAUUGAUUUUACAACUAGGUAAGAGAGACCUAGAAAAUAGUCCUGAACAUUGAAAAUACGAAAGCAGGUGAUGAUUUUUCCAUCUGAGAUUUUGUUGAUUCGGAUGAUGAUUUUAUGGAAGACAAUGAUCUAGAUUAUGAUCCUCUACUAGAAAAGGCAAAUAGAGGUACCAGGAACCUCACUAGAGCAGAUUAGUGGACUAAUUGACGGAGUUUCAGCAGAAAAUAUUCUUGAAGCGUAACUCAGGGGCCCAGAGAAAGUUGAAACAAUUAAGACUAACAUCACAUCUUUGAUAAAGCUGGUGUCUAAUGGAAGCAUUGCAACUGGUUCUGCUGCUUUGAACAAAUCUUCUGGUAGAGCAGAAAUAAUAAUACUUUCAAAAGAUGAAAGUCAUAUACAGUUAAACAAUAACUCUGCAAUGAUGGGUUCAGUUAAGAAGAAGAUGAGAUGUGAUUGCCUCCAAAAUCAGUAGCCCGCAUAUAAAAUGAAUAAACCAGUUAUUAGUUUCGCCACCCCGUCGUUCUUCACGUGCAAUGGUAUAAACCUAUUGCUAGAUGUCAAAACUUUUGCAUUCUUUUGCUUCUUUUAUUAGAGAUUACGUGAAUAUUUGCCUUGUUUGCUUGGUUUUUUAGAGAGGCCACGAUGGUCUUCGGAUGCGCGAUCAGGGAAAUAGUAGCUGCAAAAAUUACAG